rnacentral:rRNA from 1 species
CCAAUAGCGUAUAUUAAAGUUGUUGCAGUUAAAAAGCUCGUAGUUGAAUUUCGGGAUCAGUACGCUGGCCGUGCCUUCGGUAUGUACUGGUGUUACUGGUUCCUACCUUCUGACGAACCGUCAUGUCAUUAAUUUGGUGUGGCGGGGAAUCAGGACUGUUACUUUGAAAAAAUUAGAGUGUUUAAAGCAGGCUCGCGCUUGAAUACAUUAGCAUGGAAUAAUGAAAUAGGACGUUCGAUCCUAUUUUGUUGGUUUCUAGGAUUGACGUAAUGAUUAAUAGGGAUAGUUGGGGGCAUUAGUAUUCAAUUGUCAGAGGUGAAAUUCUUGGAUUUAUUGAAGACUAACUACUGCGAAAGCAUUUGCCAAGGAUGUUUUCAUUAAUCAAGAACGAAAGUUAGGGGAUCGAAGACGAUCAGAUACCGUCGUAGUCUUAACCAUAAACUAUGCCGACUAGGGAUCGGAUGAUGUUAAUUUUUUAAUGACUCAUUCGGCGCCUUACG